rnacentral:rRNA from 1 species
UACGGGGGGAGCAAGCGUUGUUCGGAUUUACUGGGCGUAACGGGCGCGUAGGCGGUCAGCACAAGUCAGUUGUGAAAUCUCCGGGCUUAACUCGGAAAGGUCAACUGAUACUGUGCGACUAGAGUGCAGAAGGGGCAACUGGAAUUCUCGGUGUAGCGGUGAAAUGCGUAGAUAUCGAGAGGAACACCUGCGGCGAAGGCGGGUUGCUGGGCUGACACUGACGCUGAUGCGCGAAAGCCAGGGGAGCGAACGGG